rnacentral:rRNA from 1 species
UACGUAGGUGGCAAGCGUUGUCCGGAUUUACUGGGCGUAAAGCGCGCGCAGGCAGUCCUUUAAGUCUGAUGUGAAAGCCCACGGCUCAACCGUGGAGGGUCAUUGGAAACUGGGGGACUUGAGUGCAGAAGAGGAAAGCGGAAUUCCACGUGUAGCGGUGAAAUGCGUAGAGAUGUGGAGGAACACCAGUGGCGAAGGCGGCUUUCUGGUCUGUAACUGACGCUGAGGCGCGAAAGCGUGGGGAGCAAACAGG